rnacentral:rRNA from 1 species
CAGCCGCCGCGGUAAUACAAAGGGUGCAAGCGUUACUCGGAAUUACUGGGCGUAAAGCGUGCGUAGGUGGUGGUUUAAGUCCGUUGUGAAAGCCCUGGGCUCAACCUGGGAAUUGCAGUGGAUACUGGGUCACUAGAGUGUGGUAGAGGAUAGUGGAAUUUCCGGUGUAGCAGUGAAGUGCGUAGAGAUCGGAAGGAACAUCUGUGGCGAAGGCGACUAUCUGGGCCAACACUGACACUGAGGCACGAAAGCGUGGGGAGCAAACAGGAUUAGAUACCCGAGUAGUCCCUGUCUCUUAUAC